CUUUACUGUAGCUUUACAUUGGACUUUGAACAGAUCUGUGUAGGAUAGGUGGGAGGCUUUGAAGCGGUGCCGCUAGGUGUCGUGGAGCCAACGUUGAAAUACCACCCUGGUGUGUUUGAGGUUCUAACCUUGGCCCGUGAUCCGGGUUGGGGACAGUGUAUGGUAGGCAGUUUGACUGGGGCGGUCUCCUCCCAAAGCGUAACGGAGGAGUUCGAAGGUACGCUAGGCACGGUCGGAAAUCGUGCUGAUAGUGCAUAGGCAUAAGCGUGCUUGACUGCGAGACUGACAAGUCGAGCAGGUACGAAAGUAGGACUAAGUGAUCCGGUGGUUCUGUAUGGAAGGGCCAUCGCUCAACGGAUAAAAGGUA
rnacentral:rRNA from 1 species